rnacentral:lncRNA from 1 species
CUUGAUGCGUGUGGCCAUCAGAUCUACCACCUCAAAUAAUGAGGGAGAUCUGAUGGCCCUUGUUAUUUUUUAUUUUAUUAUUUUUUUUUAUUUUCUGCUUAAUCCAUUUAUUUUGUUUAAUUCAUAGAAAUUUCACUUUUAAUCCAAAAAAUAUGGGACUUUCACCAAAAAUAUUUAAAUAUAUUUCUCUUCCAUAUUCUGAAUUUAAAUUAUUUUUUGGAUUAAUUUUGAUAUUUUUCAUGAAUUAAAUGUUUUGGACUUAUUUUUAAUUAUUUUAAAAUACUUUUUACUUUUCAAAAAUCAUGAAUUUUUUUGUCUAAGGUCCUUUGGCCUAGGAUAAAUCCUUGGCCAUUUAUU